ACUCCUACGGGAGGCUGCAGUCGAGGAUCUUGGACAAUGCGCGAAAGCGUGAUCCAGCGACGUCGCGUGCAGGAUGAAGGCCUUCGGGUUGUAAACUGCUGUCGUGAGGGAACAAUUGGCGGGAGGCUAACACCGUCUCGUCUUGAUAGUACCUCAGGAGGAAGACACGGCUAACUCUGUGCCAGCAGCCGCGGUAAUACAGAGGUGUCGAGCGUUGUUCGGAUUUACUGGGCGUAAAGGGUGCGUAGGCGGCUUUGUGUGUCGGACGUGAAAUCCCACUGCUUAACGGUGGAGCUGCAUCCGAAACUACAGGGCUUGAGUGCCGGAGGGGGAGAUGGAAUUCUCGGUGUAGCAGUGAAAUGCGUAGAUAUCGAGAGGAACACCAGUGGCGAAGGCGAUCUCCUGGACGGCAACUGACGCUGAGGCACGAAGGCUGGGGGAGCAAACAGGAUUAGAUACCCUGGUAGUCCCAGCAGUAAACGUUGUGCACUUGGUGUGGGAGGAGUUAUCCCCUCCCGUGCCGGAGUUAACGCGUUAAGU
rnacentral:rRNA from 1 species